UACGAAGGGGGAGCUAGCGUUGCUCGGAAUCACUGGGCGUAAAGCGCACGUAGGCGGACUCUUAAGUCAGGGGUGAAAUCCUGGAGCUCAACUCCAGAACUGCCUUUGAUACUGGGAGUCUUGAGUUCGGGAGAGGUGAGUUGGAACUGCGAGUGUAGAGGUGAAAUUCGUAGAUAUUCGCAAGAACACCAGUGGCGAAGGGCGGCU
rnacentral:rRNA from 1 species